rnacentral:rRNA from 1 species
CACGUAGGGCGCAAGCGUUUGUCCGGAAUUAUUGGGCGUAAAGGAGCUCGUGAGGUUGGUUUGUUACGUCUGCUGUGAAAACCUAGGGCUUAACCCUGGGCUUGCAGUGGAUACGGGCAGACUAGAGGUAGGUAGGGGAGAAUGGAAUUCCUGGUGUAGCGGUGAAAUGCGCAGAUAUCAGGAGGAACACCGGUGGCGAAGGCGGUUCUCUGGGCCUUACCUGACACUGAGGAGCGAAAGCGUGGGGAGCGAACAGG